UUUCUUUCUUCCAAUAAUAUUUUAUUUCCUAACAGUCUCAAAACUGAUUUUUGUAUUUAUCUGCCAGCUUCCAGUGGACAAGAUGAGUCAGAAACCUCUUUCUCUCUGAUAUCAAUCUUCUUACAUGAAAUUUUUUGGGCCGCAUUUUUUUGCUGAUUAAACAUGGGAAUUUCAUUGACAGAGUCAACAUAUGAAGCACCUGUGUAGUAUGUCAAUCCUUUGGGUGUCAAUUUGGUAUGAUUCUUGUGCACCUUUAAGCUUUUUUGCAUAUUCUACAAUAUUUUUAUAUCUGUGGUUUAUGAUCAAGUAACUUGCUGACAAUUUGUCUUUCUUUGUUGCUGGUUCUUGCUUCGAGUAUUCUUCUCUAGUUCUCUUCAGCUAAGAUUUUAUACUUGCCUCUCCUUCGUGCAUUUUUUGUGAAUUGUAGUUAUCUUAUAUCUUUAUUUAUUCAGUUGCUUGAAGCUUUUUUGAUGUUCGUACAUGGUUUGCAUAAUGUUUUGGGAUAAGGAAAUAUGAUUUAACUUGGGCUUUGUAAAUUUCAUAUAUUAUCCCAAGGGUUAUAAGAAACUCAUUUCCAUUACUGCCUCAAUGGGCUACUUGGAGAUAUAGUGCCUUGUGCAUCGUGUGUUCAAUUGCAUUAUGCUGCUCUCAGCGUUGCUAAGAACAAGCUAACGAAGGACCUUGGCAGAUGCAAAAGUGAUUCAAAUGAUUUUGAAGGGAUUGGAGACUAUAUUAGAGAUCACUUUAUGCAGUGAUUCAGACCCAUAUGUGGAGUGCUUUCCUGAGCAUAAACAUGAAUGUAGAGGAGUGAACAGGCCUACGGUGUUGCCAUCUGAUAUAUUUUUGGCUGCUCAUGUACUGGUGAAGUCUACAUUGCAAGGAGAAGGUUAUGUUGAGGUUAUCAUAAUUAUUUCUCAAAUCAGAGUGAAUUCUGUGGCAGUUGUUCGCAUGAAAUCUGUGGAUAGUUAUGGUCUGGCGGGUGAACUUAGAAGACAUCCAUCUAAUUUAGGUUCUUUAACUAGCUUGUUGGAACAGGCUAUUAGGAACUUCUGAAACCCAUGCUACAACUGGUGUAGCAGGAACUUUUGGGUAUGUAGCACCGGAGUAUGCAUUAACAUGUCGUGUGUCUGAGAAGGCUGAUGUUUACAGCUAUGGUGUGGUGCUACUUGAACUGAUAUCUGAUAAGAAGGCCUUGGACCCUUCUUUUUCCUCGCAUGAAAAUGGUUUCAAUAUUGUUUCUUGGGCCUGCAUGCUGUUGCAACACGGUUAGGCUAAGAAAGUGUUCACUGUGGGUUUAUGGGAUGCAGGACCCCAUGACCAUCUGGUGGAAAUACUGCAUUUGGCAAUCACCUGCACUUUCAACUGCGAGAAACAGAAACUGAAGAACUUUCGGAAAGUUGACAGUGAAAGAUGCUCAGAUGCGCAUUUGUAGGUAUCAGUAUGCAUGAGGUUGGUGGAUCCAAAGAUUUUGAUAUCAAUGGAGUGCCACCGUAAGCAAUAACUUCCUUUUUAUGGAUCCUAGAUAUUGCUCAAAGUGCAGUUCUCAUUGUUAUUUUGAGACUUCAUGUGCAGCAUCAAACAAAGCUUGGAAAUACAUUAGAAGGUCAGAAGUUCAAGUUUUUUCCAUCUUUGCAUUUGCGAUUAGUGCAUCUAGCACGAACAGGUCUAUCAUAUAAUAACUUAAAAAUAAAAGUAAAUCAUGUCAAUUUACGUGUGAUUUUCAUCUAUAGACUAUAGAACUGAGCUGUAUCUUCACUUCCAUUUUGGAAAUCUGUUUCUCAAAAUGUAAUUCAUUCAUGUAGGCAUGUUAAUGGCUGCAUAAUAAUACACUUUCGUUGUACUGUUGGAUUGAAAUUACGUGCGCUACACUUGCUGAUGCCAUAAAUUCUCUUGUUGAGAUCAAUAUUGCAUGCAUAUAACAAAGGGCAUUGCAGAAGUGAGUUUCAACUUCUUCAUCUUUUUGUUCUCUUCCAAAAAAUAACUCCAUCCAUGACUAGACAGUUUCGGUUUUGAAUGGUCCGUGCAUUUCUGUUAGAAUAUUUUGAGGUGCUUUUCAUUGCCAGGCAGAGAAAUACUAUAGGUAUACUAGUUUAUCAGGGAAUAUCUGUAACUCUUAUAGACUUUCAUGGCUGUGUAUGAUGUAAUCUUCCAGGCAGAUGACGUACUUGUGAAAGUUUUUGUUUGCUAGGCGAGUUACAAUUGUGAAUGAGCAUUGUAAGGUAUAUGUUUGCAUGAAAAUUAUAGGAUCCUGGAACUUGCAUGAUA